GGGCGGUGUCAAUCUCCCACUGCUUCCGCCUGCAGUAGUUCUGGCUGUGGCACGGAGGUGACGCAGAGCGCAGAGCAUGGUCAUAGGGGAAACCGUGAGGGCGCUCUGUAAGGCCCGUGCUAAGAGCAUGCCCAAGGUGUGGGGUGGAAGGCGGGGAUUGGCUCCGGGUUAGGUUCCUCCGGUCCUUGUCCGAUGUGCCGCCUACCGGAUGUGACUUUCCUAGGCCCCGGCCAGGAUUUAGGCCCUAUACUGCAAUGAUUCUGCCACCGGAAAGGAGGUUGUGAGCUGGUGACCUGUCUCCUUUCAAAAGUACCAAGUGAUAAGACAAGAGAAAAUGAACUCAGGCUGCACCAGAGUUAGAUAGUGUGGGACAAUGUCAGAUCUAGCUGGCACAAACCCUUUGGGAGGAAGCAAAGAAAAUUGAGGAAUCCAAGGAAAAGUAAAAUCUGCAUCGGAAGAAGGUCAGGGUGUUGAUCCAUCCUCAUCCUUGGUGAUGGAUCCUGGCUCCUGGCUCAUGUCUCCCAACAUGUCCCAGCCCCCUGCAUGCUUCCAGUG